ACAACAACCAUCAGAUCCCAGCCGUGAAAGCCUUCGAGAAUACAUUUUUUCCCUUUCCCUUUUCUGUGUCAGUCAAGAAGCUGCCCACAAAUGAAGCAGUUCUGGCUGCAGGCAGUUUCUUGAUGGGCACUUCAGAUAAUACAAAGACUUUUUUUUUAAAAAAAAUCUGUGAUGUAGCAUAUCAGUGAUGGUCUAGCAGAGUAAAAAAAAGCCCCCCAAAAGUUCCCCUGCCGAUCUGCCAAGGAGCAGGGGAAGUGUUCAAUUUGUGGAUAUCUCGAAGUGGCUUGCUUAUUAAGCCAGUUCACAAUACCAUAUAUUGACAACAGAAAUACCCAGACUAAAUAGGGUUGCUUGAGGUCUGUAUGCUAUUUGGACCAAAUGGCAUAUUGCACCUCUACCUGAUUUCAAGUGACCUCAUUUAGAUUACACCAGCCCCCUCCAAAAAGGCCAGUGUAGAUGACUCCUAAAUUGUUUAUAUAGAAGGCAACUAGGGGUUCAGUCAUGAGGUAAAUGGAGGAUGAAAUAUCAGGAGUCAAAGGUGGGAAUCCAUCCUGGGCCUGCUCUUUUAAAAAGGUCCUGACUGCUGAGCUCCUUAGAGCUCUUAGAAAUAAGCCCAUUGAAGGGUUUUAUGCUGGGGAAUUUAGCACCAUGAGACCUUGCUUAGGAGUGCCUUUUAUUAUAAAAAGACCUAUUUCUUCUGCUGACUUGCGAAGCACAUCUAAAAGAUACAGAUUUAUACUUCUAUAAAUAAGGCAUGGGAUAUGUUUUCAUUGUCAGGGGACACAGGCUAAACUUAAGAAUUUAUUAAGUCAAGCAUAUAUUGCAAAUUAAACCAGUAAAUAGUAAGCAAGAAAAACCGGUGUUUGAUGUAUGAUGAGGAAUAUGAAAACAUGACCAAUUACCUGAAAACUGCAGGAAAUACUCUUGUAAUGUAGUGUACAUUACAAGAAUGCAGCCAUUAAACACACAGACACACAAAGAAAUCCAAAUUGGGUUGGUGGUUGGCCUGGUUUAUACAUGUAGCAGAAUGCGAUGCACAGGUCUGAAAAACUUUGGUUUGUAUAAACCUUUUAAAUGACAACUCACAGAACCCCACAAUUCUUGGAUUUGUAGUCCAAAAGAAGUAACUUUCUCCAUAUCUGAUCUUCUUUGACUGCUUUCUGGGGCCUUGCCAGCCAAGCCCUCCACCCCUUUCUUUCUUUUGCAGUUCCUCUGCUACAUCAGAAGGGAGAGAUUCUCCUGAGAAUGCCGCAUGUGAAAUACUUAUAUUAAGAAUUUAUAUGAAAAAUGGCCCGGUCCCUUGUGUUCGCAUGCAAAAGACAGUUUAGGCGUGGGAGGCUGAAAUUUUCCGUCAGCUGUUAAGCUUUUUGGGUGGCCUUGGGCGAGUGCUCCCUCCCAGUCUUCCCCUGCCUCAGCCUUUCAAGGUAGUUGUGAAGAUCGAUAAAUGUUUUUAUGUAGGUCACAGCCAUAAGGCUACAUACAGAAAUAUUUUAAAAAAUAAAUGAUGCAUAAUAAUGUUCCAUUGUGAGGCAGCAGCAGAUCAUUUGAAAACUAAGAUGAGGUUUGGCUCAGUUCUGUAAACUAGAAACAACCUCAGCUCUGUAAACUAGAAACGUUAAACACUCUUUUAUUUUCUUUACUGAACAAUACACCUUCAUUUUGAUUUUCAGACUUCAUUUUGCCAGUUUCCUGUUCACACUGACUAUCUGCAGGGAACCCACAAAAAUGGCUAGCAAGAAGUCACCUGCAUCCUUUUCUUUGUUUCCAUGGAACCAAUGCCACAGUAUUAAUACAGAUCAACGGGAGCGACAACCAGUUUAAGUCUCAUGUGUGAGGACAUCCCAAAAAUAGUAACAUGGUUUAGCAACAGAAGCUGAAUAGUCAGCACUGACGUAUGAACUCAAGAGAAGAAGAAAGGAACAUUCCUAACCACACACUUCUUAAUCACAUGUGAACCUUGGGACAUGAAGACUGGUGUCAGCUGUCACUUUCCAGCUGCUUCACUGUCUGGUUUUAAAACAUAAUUACGGAAAUGUGAUUGCAGGAGUAUCCAUAAAGAAAAGUUUGAUAGAUUGCAGAUGGUAAUUAUGGUUACUGUAUAAGGAACAUUAAGUUGGUAAUAGAAAACAUACCAAAAUGGCAGUCUUUUUGUGCAUGUGAGAUGAUGCAGAAGAUCUUAAACAUUAAACUUCCUAAGUAAUUUUGAUGUCAUUCUAUUGUCAUUCCUGACUCUGUACAAUAUCGAGCAUCUGCAGAUGCUGGGGCACAGAUAACCAAGGCAGAGAGAAAUGUUUUGUGGCCCAAAUGCUGAAUAAUUGCCACUAACAAUUGAAACUAUUUCAAGUUUUGUUGAGUCAGGCCAGUCUUAGUGAUUAAUCUGAACAGUGAUUACAAAACCUGGGUGUAACUGAUUUUAUUUAAUUAGAAUUACAUUCAUAUCCCACUUUUAUUCCAGUUAAUUUAAAGCAGUAUAUGUCCUGUUCUCUCCUCUUCAUCCUCACUACAACCCUUGAAAGUAGGUCAACCUGAGAGACAGUGGCUAGUCCAAGGUCACCCCAUGAGGUUUUUUUUAGAGGUUCUUGGGAACUUGCACCAGGCUUUUCCACAUCCCACUUCAGCACCACACUGGCUCUCCAUACCGAUACCAGCUCCCUGGUUUACUAUUUUAGUCUAUUUUAAUUACCAGAUGAAACUGAGAGGCCAUCUCUCUCUUAAGAAGAUCACCAUGGUGAUUCAUCAUUGCUCCCCUUAAAGUCGGAAAGUUACCUUCAUGAUACCUUUGAAAGCAAUGAGUUACAGUGAUGGUUUGAAGGCUGCCAAAAGUACUUACAAUAAAAUUAAUUAUCCAAAAAAAAAAAAACAA